rnacentral:lncRNA from 1 species
UAGCUUCCAGGGUGGAGGUCGGCCAGGACUCAAAGGACUUGUUUCUUUGGUUGGAAAGAGGGAGGGUGAGUCUCUUGCCUUGCACUUACAGCUUCCCCCAGGGCGCUAAGCUUGGAUGCAAGCCCUGAAAAACAGAGCUCAAUGGCUCUGCUCCAGCUCUAUCUGAGGGAUGGAAAAGGCUCUUGUGGUGCCACUGAGGCACCUGGAGAUCUCGGAGAAGCUUUUGGGGUGGGGUGACUUUAUCACCUGCACGCACAUUUUGGUCGUGUCCUCUGGGGUGUGUGAAGGGCCCUCCCAAGACCAGAUGUAAGAAAACACGUGAUGAAGAGAGUCCUGCCCUCCUUCUGCCACUCACCGCCCUCGCGCCAUAAGCAAGAGGAUUUAUCUUGGGGAUGCAGGGCACCUGAGACAUUUAUUGCCUAUGCUAGUAAACACAGCAGAGAGAAGGUGCCCAGCCAGCAGUUUUCCUCCUGUGAUCGCCCUGCAACUUGCGCAGCUGGCAGCUGCCAAAGCAACGGGUCAUGAACAUGCACGGCCUCAACCCGUCGGUCUUCCAGCCUCUGGAUUUACAGCGAGACUCCAGGAAAACCCUCCUGCCUGCUUAUCUGUGCCAUGGGCGAGGGCUUCCUUCCCGGUUUAUCAUUAGAGCCUGCCUUCCUCCAGAGAGCUGGUUGGAGCAGCCACCCUCUGUUCCCCGCUAGACAUCCGGACGCUGCCCGAGAUGAGCUCUCUUUUUGUGCGGAGCGUGGAAAUUGAGAUAGCCAACAAAACCCGGAAUGUGACCCUGCAUACCCCCAGGAGCUACUGCUACAGUGGCUACAGCUAUAUACCACCCAGUCCCAAGAUCCCCCCUGGUGCCACGGAGAGCUGCCAAUUUGCUAAUGUAGCGCUCAGCUUCCGGGGGAGCGUGGGGAUCCUGGUGUAUGAGGCAGACACCUUCACACUGGCCAUCCUCUUCUCCAACCCCUAUGACUACAACAUUUUCUAUAUGGAGGUUGCCCUGGAGAUCUCCAUGGAAAAAGCCCACCUCGGCAACUUGGAGGAUGUCUACAAGAGGAUGUACAACAGCGUGCCCACUGGCAACGUUAAUGGCACCACCUUCCAGCGAGCCAAACUCCAUGCAUGCCAGGAGACCCUCAUGGUCUCUGCCAACCAUGUGCAGGUCAUGGCCACCAUGUCCAGCGCUGCUAACUCAGUCCUGAAAGUAAUUGUGGAGGAUAAAGAUAGUCCCCCCCCAUAUUCAGAGCAAGCACCACCUGGUAGCCUUGGGCAGUAUCAGCCUCGGCCGAAGAAUUGGAAGAACCUGCUCAAAGGCAAGACGGGCAGGUGAUAGUGCUCUCUGUUUUGGUUCUUGCUUGCUUUAGAUGCCAGGCAACAUGUGCUUCCUUCAAUAAAGGCUAAAGCCAAGUAUCCA